CAUCGUGAGUUGGAAUCUGAAAGAAGUCAGCGGCAAACAUCUGCCCCGACGUACAGAAACCUAAUAUCAAGGCUAUGCGUGAGGGUAAGGCGGCACGAAACGUCAAAGCCCGAUAACUACUCGGAAUCAUUCAUAGUAAAUAUG
rnacentral:ncRNA from 1 species